rnacentral:rRNA from 1 species
CAGUAGCCGCGGGAAUACAUAGGGUGCGAGCGUUAAUCGGAUUUACUGGGCGUAAAGCGUGCGUAGGCGGCUAAUUGAGUCGGAUGUGAAAUCCCCGAGCUUAACUUGGGAAUUGCAUUCGAUACUGGUUAGCUAGAGUGUGGGAGAGGAUGGUAGAAUUCCAGGUGUAGCGGUGAAAUGCGUAGAGAUCUGGAGGAAUACCGAUGGCGAAGGCAGCCAUCUGGCCUAACACUGACGCUGAGGUACGAAAGCAUGGGGAGCAAACAGGAUUAGAUACCCGAGUAGUCCCUGUCUCUUAUAC